AGUCGAGCGAUGAACACCUUCGGGUGUGAAUUAGCGGCGAACGGGUGAGGAACACGUGAAGAAUCUGCCUUCAACUCUGGGAUAACUCCGGGAAACCGGGGCUAAUACCGGAUAUGAGCCUCGAUCGCAUGAUUGGGGCUGGAAAGUUUUUCGGUUGAAGAUGACUUCGCGGCCUAUCAGCUUGUUGGUGAGGUAAUGGCUCACCAAGGCGACGACGGGUAGCCGGCCUGAGAGGGCGACCGGCCACACUGGGACUGAGACACGGCCCAGACUCCUACGGGAGGCAGCAGUGGGGAAUAUUGGGCAAUGGAGGAAACUCUGACCCAGCGACGCCGCGUGAGGGAUGAAGGCCUUCGGGUUGUAAACCUCUUUCAGUAGGGAAGAAGCGAAAGUGACGGUACCUACAGAAGAAGCACCGGCUAACUAUGUGCCAGCAGCCGCGGUAAUACAUAGGGUGCAAGCGUUGUCCGGAAUUAUUGGGCGUAAAGAGCUCGUAGGUGGUUCGAUACGUCGGAUGUGAAAAUCAGGGGCUCAACCCCUGACCUGCAUCCGAUACGGUCGAGCUAGAGUUUGGUAGGGGAGACUGGAAUUCCUGGUGUAGCGGUGGAAUGCGCAGAUAUCAGGAGGAACACCGAUGGCGAAGGCAGGUCUCUGGGCCAAUACUGACACUGAGGAGCGAAAGCGUGGGGAGCGAACAGGAUUAGAUACCCUGGUAGUCCACGCCGUANACGGUGGGCGCUAGUUGUGCGAACCUUCCACGGUUUGUGCGACGCAGCUAACGCAUUAAGCGCCCCGCCUGGGGAGUACGAUCGCAAGAUUAAAACUCAAAGGAAUUGACGGGGCCCCGCACAAGCAGCG
rnacentral:rRNA from 1 species